CUUUCAUGGACGCGAUCAACUCAGGACAGGUCGACUGUGCUAGAUGGCUGCUGAGGCAAGACGGUUGAAAGCUCCAGCCCGAGAUAUGGUCGUUUUGUAGGGAGAGGGGGCUAGAGUCAGUGCUAACAGCUUAACAGAAGCAAGGUACGGAGAGCGAUCCAUGGCUGUCCCGAUAGACCCACUCAGACUCCUGCCGGAAGAUACUCCUCCGGUUGAUCCAGAUGAGACAGUUCUAGCAGAUGAUCAGUUACAGACUGAAGAACAUAUCCCACAGAUCAAUGCGUCAACAUCUGCAAAUGAAGCUGAUAUCAGAAUCGAAAUGAUGAUGGUACUACACGAGAUGCUCAUGGAAAAGGUAUCAGUUUGCUUUCCUCCUCCCACGAGCAGUACAAAGUGUGGGUUCAACUUUAAUC